rnacentral:rRNA from 1 species
GAUGAACGCUGGCGGCGUGCUUAACACAUGCAAGUCGAACGGAAAGGCCCAAGCUUGCUUGGGUCCUCGAGUGGCGAACGGGUGAGUAACACGUGGGUGAUCUGCCCUGCACUUCGGGAUAAGCCUGGGAAACUGGGUCUAAUACCGGAUAGGACCACAUUUUGGAUGGUGUGGUGGAAAGUUUUUCGGUGUGGGAUGAGCUCGCGGCCUAUCAGCUUGUUGGUGGGGUAAUGGCCUACCAAGGCGUCGACGGGUAGCCGGCCUGAGAGGGUGUACGGCCACAUUGGGACUGAGAUACGGCCCAGACUCCUACGGGAGGCAGCAGUGGGGAAUAUUGCACAAUGGGCGCCAGCCUGAUGCAGCGACGCCGCGUGGGGGAUGACGGCCUUCGGGUUGUAAACUCCUUUCGCUAGGGACGAAGCGUUAUGUGACGGUACCUGGAGAAGAAGCACCGGCUAACUACGUG